AGCGAGAAGGCACUUCUGCUUGGGCUUGGGCAAUUGGUCUAUGGUCGAUUCAGUAAGAAAUAGGAAUUGAGAGUUCUACCUCUAGGCUUUCUUCUUCUUUCUUUUGUUUUAACUCUUGAAGAAAGAAAUGAAAUUCUGUGAAAAUAAGCAAAUAUGUCAAGGAGUCUAUCCACCGCAUAUAGGCUUUAAGGACAUCGUGGCAUAACCGUCGAGGUAAAGUAGGGGGACAAUGGAAGGAUAGAAAGACAAGUAAAUUCCGCUUGAUGUAGAGGUUGAGUAGGUACCUUAAAGACAAGAAAGAAGUGAGACCCCAGCCCAGCAGCUUUGUUUCCGAGGUUAUGUAUGGAAUGGAAUAUCUGGGAAGGUAUCCCAAAGGGCUGUGUAGGGUUCUUCCUCUAUUUAUUGUAUAGAAUACAUAAUGAGUGCUAGCUUUCUGACUCAGAAGAAAGGAAAGAAAUCCCAGGCUCGUGCUUGGGACCGGACCAGAUAGGAGCGAUAUAAAGCAGAUUGCCCUAAAUUGGAUAGGUAGCCGAAUAAGAUGAUCUUAGGGGGCAUGCCCAGUUCAAAGCAAGGCCAUUGGGUCAAGAGAUCAUGACCUUGCACUCCUAGCCCCACGAGCCAACUAAGGAUGUUCGGAACCUGCCUGCCUGCUUCGAGAUCUUUCUCUUGAGUCAGAAGAAAGAGAAAUUCUCUGGUUCUCUUCUCUAGCCGGUGUCCCAUUCGGGGAUAAGUUCUUCAAUAAAGGAGGGCUCAUUCAUCAAGAUCAAGCCUAGCGAAGCGAAGCGACUGUUAAGGAGAAAAAAAAAGACGAGAGAGGCUCAAUGUAAUAUGAGUUGCGGAGAGAGAGAAGAAUAUUGAAUCCAAUCUUCUAUCAAAAAAGGGGUUUUAUACCUCACCCCGGAUGAGAAAGUGGGUUGGGGAAUAGACCAGAUUGAGUCGGUGUGCUCCCGGAAGGAAGAGAACGAAAGCCACAGAAAGGGGAUAAAGCCGCAGAAAGGGGCAUUGAAUGAGUGAGUCGUCCGUCUUCUUUCCCUAUUGUAGCCCUUCUUCCUUCUCUUGUCACAGCUCUCGUAGCUUUCCUUGCAUCAGAAGUUUCUGGCAUCUCUAUCCAUUAAUAUGAAUUCAAAGGCGAUAAAGUGACGAAGUAGCUUUCUCUUUCUCUCUGAAAAGGGGCAUUAGAGUAGGAUAGAUGUAAUUGAGUCGACCCGUCCGAACCAAUGAAACUCCAACGGAGCGCUCAAUGCCCACUACACGGGAAGAACUUAUCCACGAUCUUUGCGCCUUGCACUCCGUCCUCUUGACUCGUUUUUUUUCUCUUCUUAGAUAAAUGCGCUUCGCUUCGCGCCUCAACUGCGCCCCACUUUAGCCUUACAGUCGAGCCGCUCUCAUCACGCAAUAUUCUUUGCGCCUCAGCUUUAAUUUGAGAAUAUUGCUCAGAAGAAUAUUGAGCGAUAGAAGUCGUGAAGAUGAGUUCUCUUUCUUAUCUAUAUUCUUAUCUCUAUCUUCUUCUCAUUAAAGUCUCUUUUGUCGGAUAACGAAAAGAUAUAAGUACUUUCUCUUCUCUUUCUCUCUUAAAGUUGAAUACUAACUUGCCACCUACUAAAUCCCACUACGCGGUAAAGGAGCGAAGCCUCGAUCAAUCAUAUUUCAUUGAUCCUUUGCCUUUUUCUACUUUCAGUUUCUAGUCGGCGUAGAAGGCGCAAAGAAUAUUGCGGCAAAGAAUUUGCGACGGAGCGGUCCGUAUCUGAAUUCCGUAUUAGAAUGAUCCCUUCCCGAAGGAACUGCAUCGCAAAUCUGAUGACAUGAGCGAGAAUGAAUAGUCAAUGAAAGACUGUGAGAAUCGAUCAGAAUAACUACUAUUACUUCACUCUCCCGGCCUCGUCUCAUUCUUCAAGAGUCAUGGUGAGAUCUUUCUCGUCUUAUUCCAAAUAGUAGGUUUGAAUUUCAUAAACCCCAUUGUAAUGUUUUGAAUAGUCUAUCUAAGUGAAUGAUCCCUUGUUCAUCUGGACCUUUGUUUUUGGAGAAAAAGUAGGGUAGGUCGGCAUAGACCAGAUUGAGCUGUAUCGGCUGGAGAAGUUGUAUAAAAAAGAUCUCUCCUUGUGGUUUUGCAGUCCCAAGGCCUCAUUCAAGGCUUAAUCGAGAAAGUCAGGAGAUAGAGAGGGGCGCGUGAACUAGAAAGUAAGGUCGGAAGAAGUUGAGUCUGCUGACUCCGUUGUGGUUGUUGAAGACUAAUCUUUCUCGAGAACACUACGCGGUACAUAAACUAUAGCGGAAAAUCAAGGUCUUGAGUGCUCUUUAAAAGCGCAAGCUUGGACACAUAGUGAGAUAUGAUCACAGCCUUGAGACGAAUCCCUUUCCGAUUCAAACUCGGAAGCAGGAGCUCAGCAGACUCAAAGACGAGGCUGAAUUCAUAUUCGUCCUAGAAAUCACUCUUUAGUCUAUUUAUUAAGUCGGAGGGAAGCCCCUUCACACAGUUUAGGCUCUUUCUUUCUCAGUCACAGUGGCAGUCCGAAGGACUCGUUCAUUCCAUAUUACGGCGAUUCCCCGCAUUUUCUGCUAAAUUCAAGAAGAGAAGACAGAGUACGAAUCACGGCCAGCUAAAGAGAGACUGAAUCUCUCAGAACCGGGCAAUGCUUCGACCACUGGUCGAUCUGCAGAAUCCAUUUUAUACUUCUUUCUUCAUACAAAAAAGAGAAGAAUUUCUUAAUUAGAAUAAGAAGAGGAAAGAGAAAGCCUAGGGGACGAGACUAAAGAGGAAAGGCGCUAGGGACCCGAUCCGAAGCUCAGGCUCAGAAGGAGCAUACAAUUGUUGAAAGAACCUCGCGAGCAUGAAAGCGGGGCUUAUCGCUCUUCUCCCAGAACAGAGUUUAGACAAAGGCACGCUCCCAAAGUCAGAGGCACGCACCGAGGCGCACCAAACUCGACCGAAACUUUUUUUCUCUUUUCUUUUCAAUGUCAAAACUAUUCAAAACAUUAGUAUGGACUAUUCCGUAGCCUUUUUAAAAGACUCUAUUAUAAGGCGCAAAGAAUAUUGCGGCGGGAAGGCGCAAAGUUCGGUUAAUUACGGAAAGUCCGACUUCCUUCCAUAUGGAUGGUCCUACUUCCAUAUGGAUAGUCCUCCUUCUAAUGGAUAGUCCUACGGAUAAAUCCUGCGGACUGCGGACUCCGGACCCUGGACCUUUCUUUGAUGGACUGGAUCUUGUGGGCAUGUCCGAAGGACUAUUCGCUAUGAUAAAAUAGCUUAACGAGCAAGGCAUCCUUAAUCUUGUGAGAGUUGCUGGAAGCAAGGGGAAAUCACAGUAGAAAAGGAGAAGCUCUCAUUUGAUUAACACAUUCAGAUUGGGAAAUCGGUCUUGCUCAUAGCAUACAACUAUGAAAGAGCAUAUUUCAUACCCUAGCUCAUCCCCGCUCCUGCUCGCCCCUCUCCCUACGGUCGAGUCUCUUCGCCCCUCUCCUCUUAGCCUCGAGCUAAGGAUAACCUCUCCUCAUAUCGGGCAUAGAAACCCCCUCUGCUCUUGUCUCUCACUGCCUCCACUCGGGGUUUGAGACCUUCCUUAAGGUUCCUGCGGUCCUUGAUAAUCACAUUGGAUGUCCAUGAUCACUCUUGUUGAAUGAAAUAUGGGGGGUCUCCUCCUUCGCCUAAUGAAUAUGGGGAUCUUCCUCUCUCCUCCGAUCGUUGACCUUUCCUGUCCAAGAGGAGGGGUUUGAACGUCCAAGAAGCAAAGAUCUGACAAGUCUAAAAAGAGAAAGAACCUUACAUAGAAAAGAGAUCAUGAAGAGAGCUCAUACGACCAACUUGUCCAGCGACUGCCACUGAAACUCCUUCUUCCACAGCAAGAUCUACUAAUACUAACGGAUGUGGUGACCUUGCUGCUUCUGCCUAAACUGAAUUCCCCGAAGGGCGCCUCGACCCCUUGAUUUAUGGAUGUUCAUUAAAUAGUGGGACUGAUUAAUGGAACUAAUAUUUUGGAAAGAGGUUCAAUCACCUAAAUUCAAUCUGUUCCCACUGGUGGGAAUCGAACUUUCUUUCUAAAGGCCUUACGAUCUCAUGAAAGAGCUUACCGAUCGAUCUUUCUACUAAGCGCGACUUCAGCUACAGCUUCCAACAAAAGAAAAAUCGAGCCCUCACUCUCGCACAAGACCCCUUUAUUUAUGGAUGUUCAUUGAGCCUCAAUGAAACUCAUCUGGAGCUUGAUUUUGACAAGGGAAGAAGUACCAACCAGAAAGUGAAAGCAGCCUAGUGGAAGGCGCAAAGAAUAUUGCGAAAGCGAGACAGUAUCUUUUCGGAAGCUAGAGCUUGAAAGCAAGCCAGCGGUAUGAGAUCUUCUUCCAGUUGAGGAAGAAGCUAGAACUAGAAAGUAGGAAAUAGUUAUAUGAAAUCGGCAGAGACCAGGAAGAUUAAGGAUGCCUUGCGCAAAGAAUAUUGCGAGGAUUAUGAGGGUAUUUGGGUAUUAACUCAUAACUGUAGAAUGAGUCAAGCUAGAAGCGAUAACUACCUACUAAAGCUUGAUAAAGUCCUUCUUUGUCUUUUCAAAGUCAGAGCUAUCCCUUAAUGUUCAGGGAGCAUCUGGACCCGUCCGUAGGAGUAUUUUAUUAUGGAACUGACGAUUUGAGGUUAGUGACUUCUAACCGGGCUAGUCCUGAUCAUCGUUCGAGGAUGCCUCAAAGGGGACUUUCUGCCUUUCGCUCCGUGGCUUUCUUUACGUGGGCCGAGGAAAGAGGCUUCGACGCUGAAAUGAAGGGGGUGGGCUUCAGUCGAUCGGGGCUUCCUUUGUUCACCUCUUUCGAGAAUUCUUUGAGCCCUCCGUUAGGCGCAAAGAAUAUUGCGAGACCGCGUAGAAGGAGUCUUAUGAAACCUGGACCCUUCUUUCCAUAUGGAUAGUCCUACUUCCCUCCAUAUGGAUGGUCCUACUUCGGUUAAUUACGGAUGGUCCUACUUCCAUAUGGAUAGUCCUACGGAUAAGAAUCCUCCGGACUCCGGACUACUUCGGUUAAUUACGGAUGGUCCUACGGAUAAAUCCUCCGGACUACUUCUAAUGGAUAGUCCUACGGAUAAAUCCUGCGGACGUAGGACUCCGGACUACGGAUAAAUCCUGCGGACUGCUUCGGUUAAUUACGGAUGGUCCUACGGAUAAAUCCUCCGGACUACUUCCAUAUGGAUAGUCCUCCGGAUAAGAAUCCUGCGGACUCCGGACCCUGGACCUUUCUUUCUUUAAUGGAUAGUCCUACGGAUAAAUCCUGCGGACUGCGGACGUAGGACUCUAAAACGGACCGCAACAAGAUCAGUUCCACAGGUCCUCUUGACUAUUCAACCUAUUACACAGCUCCGAAGGAGGCUGAAUUCAUAUUCGGAAAUCAUUAGUUGCACUCAUCAAAUCCCCUAAUGGAUAGUCCUUCGGACCUGUCUUAUGGCAUCUGGUCCAUCUUUUCUUUGAUUUACUCGGGCCUCCGUAGCUUAAUAUGGGGAUCUGCUCAUUCAUAUGGAUCAAAAUCAGUCCUUCGCUUCAUUCUAUAUGUCCUUAUCAAUGAGACGAGAUCCAAUCCAAUUAGGAGGACUUUUCUACCUUUUCCUUGUUCAUUGAGGACCUUUGUUUUUGGACUUCUUAAUGGAACAGGUCCGAAGGACUCUUACAAGGUAGAAAACUCGUCCUUCUCCUCUCUCCGCAAUAUUCAUAGAUUAUGCUGAAGGAGGUCCGGAGGACUAUCCAUAUUAACCUGUGACCGCGGGAGGCUCCAUAAGACAGGGAUAUUUGUAGGCGCAAAGAAUUUGAGAAAGAAUAUUGACAAGAAGAAGAAUUGAAUUUUGAUGAAAAAGAUAAUUCAAGGAAGAAAGCCUACCAGUUCCUUUGUUUACGAGGCUGAGUCAGAAGCAGAGGUUAGGGCAACCCCUACCCCUAGGGCUCGGGGGGAAGGGUACCCAGGGGAAGGUGUGAGAUCGGAGGAUCGGGAUUGGAGUUUCACACAUCCCAAUUCUCAGACUUUUUCUUAGGGAAGACCCGUCCGGAGGCUUGAAAAGUGGACUUCUUUAUCCAUGAUUAAGCUACGAAGGCCCCAUAAGACAGGGAUAUUGUUGAGGUUCGACCAGUCCUCCGGCGCGAAGAACAAAAAUCAGGCUAGGCUCAAUGCAAUUUGAGAAAGCAAAGAUCUAAAAAGAAAGGUCCAGAUGACUAUCCAUUAGGGAAUUGGAGUGCAAGUCAUGAAUAGCUUGACUUUGGAGAAAGUAGCGGACGUAGAAGGCCAAGUUUUAGUGGAAUUCUCCGACCUAUCCACUGAAAGUAGCGGAGUAGUCUUGUCUUCUUCUUAUUCCUUGAAAUUCAAAGAAAGUCCUCCCCAUUUUUUCUAUGGAAGGACGAGGCAUAAAUCAUAUUUCAUUGAUCCUCUUUAGAUAUUAUGAUCUUUUUCUGGAGUCCUCCAUUAGUUCCGAACUUGGCUCCGCUUCUUUAGAAGAUAUUAUCUUAUCUUCUCUCCUCAUUUGAUCUUUCUCUUAUCUUAUCAAAAUUUCAUGAUGAUGCUUCCUUUCUUUCUCAUCAAAAUUCAAUUCCUUCCUGAAAUUCCACUUGAUUGUUAUGGACUGAAAGAACCCUAUGAUUCUGCUUUGAGUACUCUGACUCUUCCUCAACCUUCAUUCCUCUCCACUUGGGCGAGUCGAGCUUCAACUCAUCUGGAGCUUGAUUUUCUUUGUCUAGUUCUACCCUCGUAAACCAACUCAGCUGCCUCAGCAGCAACGGCCGGCCGCUUCCUCUUCUUGUUUAUGCUGCCAAUAGCUCAAACUCAUGAUUCCAAAUUGAGAAAUCUCAUUGAUCAAUGAGAUUUUGAAGAAUGAUUAGAUUCGUCGAAUUUCACUCAAUUUCUCUCUAGUGGUAUAAAUACGCUUCGAUCACUCAUAUUACAUUGAGCCUCAACCAAAAUAAUAGCCGCAAUAUUCUUUGCACCUCCCCGUAGUUAGGAGUAUUAAGACCGGUCCGGAGUCCGGAGUCCGCAGGGCCAAAGAAAGGUCCAGGUGAUUUAUCCGUAGGACCAUCCAUAUGGAGGGAAGUAGUCCGGAGGAUUUAUCCGUAGGACCAUCCGUAAUUAACAGAAGUAGGACCAUCCGUAAUUAACAGAAGUAGGACCAUCCGUAAUUAACAGAAGAAGGACUCUAAAACGGAGGACCUGUCUUAUGGGGCCUCAGUAGCUUAAUAUGCUUCAAUCUACCAUAUUAACCUCUUUUUCACAUUUGAAAACCUUCUACGUUAGAUAUUAUGAUUCUCUUUUUCUUCCAAUAUCCUCAGCAAUAUUCUUUGCGCCUCUCAUAUGAGAGACUAAAAAAUAGUAGUUUUAAGGAAGAGGCGCAAUUCAAUAUGCGAUUGAGAUUUUGAUGCCUGAAGCGAGGUGCGAAGCGAAGAGUUUAGGGUUGAAGCUGAAGGCAUGCGGGAGUGGUCCGGUGGGAGUGUGAAAAGAGGAUAAGUAGAUAAGCUUAGUGAAUUCACUCACUUAAGAAUAAUCUCGUUAACGAGAAUUCCCCAUCUCGAACUAACUCAUCCCCCCUUUUCUUUUAUGGCGGUUUUUUUCUUUCAAACUUGCAAGGCUCGAUUCAAUUGAGUUUAGUAGGCUUUCAUCGAGCCUUCGUCUGCAAGCCUCCGGCUAGGUAAAAACCUAGGAAAAUGUGCAUUCGCACUAUGAUUAGUGCUUUUGAUUUGGGUUCAUUCUCAUUCCUUCCCUGAAACCCGGCAUUCAAAGAGUUAACCACCAUUUCUCUUUUCACAUAAAAAGAAGAGGUUCGUGCGGGGCCACCCUUGUUCAUUGAUUUCUCUCUUGCUCUUCUUGCAGACUGAUGAUUUGACUGAUUUUAGCCCUUACUCGAGAUCGUGCAGGUCUAUUUCAGAAGAGACCAUAGGUAAGUCAAAGACCUUGUUCAUUGAGGCGGUCGGUCAGAUGAAAGAGAUGUAAAGGAAGAUGGUAGCUCUCUCUCCUUGAAGUCCUUGACUAAAGCUUAAUAAGAUAGUGAAAAAAAUGAAUGAGAUUUGAACCGUACGAAUCGAGAAGACGGACGCGCCGGAACCUCAUGGGGAAGAAGUCAAAUCAGUACUAUUCUCAGAGGUCAGAAGACCUCCAUACAGAGGCUAGACUUCCAAGAAGAGAUCCCAAUGAUAGAGAUCGGGUAUCCGCUUGACUUAGCCUAUUCAGGAUAUAUAGGAGGAGUCGGAGCCCUAGCUGACCGAGAUAUCUUCACUGAACUUAUUCCUUUUCAAUUCAUUCCUUCAUAAUGAGUUGAGGCUGAAUUCUCUUAAUAUUCAUUCAGUGUGCGACUGAGAACUAAUAAGCUUCAGUAGGGUCCCCGUCCCCUGAAGUUGAAGCCAGCAUAGGCCUUACUAAAAUAGCGAUUUCCCCUCAUCAAAUCCCCCGUCCUUCGGACUGUGACGCAUCUGGACCCGCGCAAAGAAUUUGCGAAGGACUAUCCAUAUUAACCUAGCCUCUCGCUCCUAAACUCAGUCGAGCUACUAAUUAUCUUUCCUCUCGCAAAUUUGUCAAGCGACUACGUGAAAAGAGCAACUGCAUCUUCAAAGAAGUCUCGACUGAUAACGGGAGCUAAUUCCGAAACCUUGAUGAGAGCCUAAUGGGGAGUGCUUCCGAUUCUGCUUUGAGUACUUACUACUCAUCCAUUCCACGUGAAAUUGAAUCAAAAAUCAGAUGUUAUAAUAGAGAAAUCAGCCUAUUUGGCUAAGUAGCUCCGUACCCGAGCCGAGAUAGGAUGACGCUACUGCACUGCAACUCGAAAAAAAUAGCCACUACUGCCCAAAGACCACACCCUUUGGAUCGAUCCGACGAGUCUCGUCUGAGUGAAAAAGCUUAGCUUCGCGCCUUUCUCGCCGAACUAUCUUAUCUGUACGCCUUCGCGGGUUGGUACGGAUGUGCGCCCAAUAAAGAAAGCACUACGCGCUUUUUCCAAAUAUGGGUUUAGUGACCACUUUCCGAAAUCAGAGAUUCAAGUUCAUAUGGAUAAAGAAGAUUUAGUGGAUUUAAGAGAGUCCUUCGCCUAAUGAAUAUGGGGAUGAUGUUGGAUAAAAGUCAUCCAUUCAUUCUUUGCCUUUUCCCCGUAGAAGGAGUCGACUCAAUUACAUUCCAUUUACAGUCGCUUCGCCUCCAGUUCUCUCUUCUGAAACUCUUCGUCGUCCAAGUAUAAUUCAUACUUGCACUCCUUUCUUUAUCUCUUCUUUAUUAAUUAAGUCGCUUGGCCUCAACUCAUCUGGAGCUUGAUUUUCGCCCCUCUCCUUACAGUCGAGCCGCUUUCGCCCCUCUCCCGUAGCGUAGUAGGAGAUGUAGUGCCUCCAGUGUGCGCUCCUCUUAAGUCUUCUCAUAUUAAUUUCACCUUGCCAUAGUAAUCUUUGAAAAGAGCAAACUGGUCUGCCUCGUUCAUUGACUUUCUUCUUCUCACCUUUGUUUUUGUACGAUUUUCAGUCAAAUCCCUUUAAGUCUUAUAAACGGCAUUCUUAGAAAAAGAUGUCCAAAGGAUUGAACAAGAAAAGUGAGAGCCAGCAUAGCCCAAAACCUAGGAGUGGUCAAAUGGGGAUUUAGACUAGCAAAGUGGGGAUUGAACCUUCCCACUUGCCUCAACCCAAAGGAAGAACCGGGUAAGGAUGAAAAGAAUUUUGGAAUGGAACCCAUUGACUCAAGUCUUUCCCGCGCAAGAACUGGCUAGACACCCGGAUGUGGGUGGGGAUGUAUCAACGGGUGCAUGAUCCACGCGUCAAGUACGGGAUAUGAAAGGAGUGGAAGAGCUCGACAGAGAAGACGAAGGGAAGGAGCUUCUUGGCCGGAGGUAACUAAGAUACCUUUUUUACCCGGAUACCGGUUUUUCAGUGUGAUCAUUGAGUACGCUAGAUCUCACAAAGAAGGCUUAUAGCGAGGCUUUGAACUCAAUUAACUGGGAUUGUUCAUCAUCUAAAUCAAAGUACAAAGAGUGAAAUGCAUAGACAUGAAUCAGGCAUGAAAGAGCUUCCUCAUCAAAAGAACAAGAGUGCCACCAACGACUUCUAAAAACCUCUCCUGCUCCCCCCUUUCCACCAAAAUCAAUCUCUCAAUAUUCUUUCUCAAAUUCUUUGAGCCUCCCUCCGAAGGAGUUCUUUAUAUCCAUAUUAGCUUAGCUUUUUUGCCUCAUCUUUAGUAGGGCUUCCCCGUCUAACUGAAAGAGCUAGAAGAGAGUGGGCCCCAGGAGCGAGACCAGGAAAUUCCCCGUGAAGUCAGAGGUCUCGGCCGAGGAGGAUCUUCUUUUUGUCCCAAUGCCUGUUGAGUCUAAUUCAGUUGAGGAAGAUGCAGUUUAAGCAGCCCUUUUUUGAGUAGUUCUUUUUCUUGUUCUCCUUUCAGUUCAGAUAGACAUUCUUGAUUUUGUUCACUUUGCUCCCUCCCCCAGUGCAAAGAAUAUUGCGAGACCUCAGGUUCAAAAAAUAUUGACUAGACUCUUAAGGCUGCAUAAGACAGGUCCUACGUCCGGAGUCCGCAGUCCGCAGUCCGCAGUCCGGAGUCCGCAGGGCCAAAGAAAGGUCCAGGUGAUUUAUCCGUAGGACCAUCCGUAAUUAACAGAAGUAGGACCAUCCGUAAUUAACCGAAGUAGGACUAUCCGUAAUUAACCGAAGGACUCUAAAACGGAGGACCCAGAGAAAGAUUAUACUUUCUUUUUAGGACUCAAGAUGGAAUAUGAACUUGGCAUCAAUCAUCACGCAAUAUUCUUUGCGCCUGGAGAGACUUUCUCUUGUUGGAUAGGCUUGAUAUUCCGCUCCGUAGGUUCCUGACUUGUUAUGGGACUCUGAAAUCCAUAUUUCUCUUUCUGACUUCUGACUGGUCCGAAGGCUAGGUUAAUAUGGAUAGAUAGUCCGGAGGACUCUUAGCUUGAUUUUUCAAAGAAGGUAUUGAGAUUUCUUUGUUGAUGAGGCGCCAUAAGACAGGGAUAUUGAUUGAGUUCCUGCCCCUUUCUUGAAAGCUAAGUGAAAGAGCUGAACCUCCUACGCCGCGGACUCUUAUCUUUUCUCGUAAAUGGGAUUAGUGAAUUAGCGAGAUCUUCUUUAUUUUAUAAGCUGCUACUUAUUCAUCCUGCACAAGAGAUCCUUCAAUUCCUCAAGGUCGAGAAGCUUUUCUGCUUCCACAAGAGCAAGAACUGGGAAUGGAAUGAGAGGACUCCCUGCGCGAUCCUUCUUUUCCCCUUUCCCUUUCCUCUGUGAACCAAGUCUUAAUUUCUUUAUGUACGUUAAUAUUACUCGAAAAUAUGAUGAAUAGUCCAGAGGACGUCCUUCGGAGUAUAUAGCGUAGGAGGAGCAAAGAAUUUGAUCUUUAUCCCCCCUCCUUAGCAUUUAGUGGAAUAAGACUCGUCCGGAGCGCGGAUAUUAUCGGCUAUUUAACAGCUUUUUUUCUCCAUAAGACUUUUUAAGCUAAAAUAAUGGCAAUAUUCUUUGAUCCUCCCUAAUGGAUAGUCCUUCGGACCUGUCUUAUGGCACCUCCGGUCUUCUCAAUAUGCUUUGCGCCUAAGAAAAAGAAAGAAUGUCUUUCUGAGACAUCACGCAAUAUUCUUUGCGCUCAUUGAUAAGGGCAAUAUGCAAAGCUUUGAGCAAUAUUCUUUGCUUUUCUCAAUCCCCCGUCACCUGUCCUACGUCCUACGUCCGCAGGAUUUAUCCGUAGUCCUACGUCCUACGUCCUACGUCCGCAGUGCCAAAGAAAGGUCCAGGGUCCGCAGUCCGCAGGGCCAAAGAAAGGUCCAGGUGAUUUAUCCGUAGGACCAUCCAUAUGGAGGGAAGUAGUCCGGAGGAUUUAUCCGUAGGACCAUCCGUAAUUAACCGAAGUAGGACUAUCCAUAUUCAGGAGCGGAAUCCAGAAUAGACCUCUCAGUAUCCGGACCAUAAACUCAAACUAGAAGUCUUCAUUGAUUUUCCCUGUCCUAGGAGUUCUUCUUUCAUUGCGUUUUCCCGGCUUUUUUGCUUCUAAAUGUGACUUUUGUUAAUCUUGAUAUUUAACGAUAAUUGUCUAAUUUUGACGGAUUUUUCAUGAUUUCUUGCUACUUUAUAGGCCCAAAACCUAGCAUUUUCUUGUAUUUCCCUCCGCGAAGGACUAGUCUGAAAUCUAGCAGAUUAAUCUGAAAUCUAGCAGAUUCAUAAUUCUUCUUGAAUUCGAGUUAAUGAGCCCGUAGUUAGGAGUAUUAAGACCGGUCCUACGUCCAUUUAUCCUCCGGACUAUCCAUCAAAGAAAGGUCCAGGUGAUUUAUCCGUAGGACCAUCCAUAUGGAAGGAAGGAGGACUUUCCGUAAUUAACCGAACUUUGCGCCUAGCCUUCGGACCUGUCUUAUGGGGCCUCAGUAGCUUAAGAUGGGACCGGCAAGACCAUAUUAACCUUUGGGACUUGUUUAUGAAAUCCAUAUGAAAUUAAGCGGUAGCAUGAUAAGUUCUUCCAUUUUUUUAGCAGAAGUGAGUAAAAGAAGGAGAGGUCUUGCAGCUAAGCUAUCCCCAUCAUCGGUGUGAAUAGGCUAACCCGACCAAUAAGAAUAGGAGCGAAGCUGCCGAUAUGGAUCCGCUCGACCUAGUCUUGAGUCAGAAAGUCAAUGAACAAGGCGCAAAGCAAGCCCACUACAUUAAUUGACUGGAUCUUGUGGACUAGCGCUAUCACUAUUAAGUAGGGCGCGGAGCAAAGAAAGCUUCUUUCCGCUUCGGUUGAGGAAAGCGAGAACUCAUUUUCAGUGACAUAAUAUCUAAUUUGUUAUUCUUGAAUUGAAGAAGAAAGAAGACAGAGUUCUCAGAUCUCUUUAAAGAACAAAAAGGCUAGGUGUGAAGCCGCUCGACUCUCAAGGAGAGGAAAGAGUAGGGAGCGGACUAGAAUAUCUCUGAUUAUUCUCGGGUAGGGGCAUUGAAUUCAUCUUCUUUCUACCGUAGAAGGAGCGCAAAGAAUUUGCGAAAGAAGGCGUCACAGGUCCUCCGGACUGCGACUGUCUGUCCUUCGGACGGGGAAUUUGAUUCCUUUCAAUUCAAACCGCGGAGCAUAAGAAGGGGAGGACUUUGAUUGGAAGUUUCAGUUCCAUUCUCAUCAGUUCUCAAAUAGGGGAUUGGAUAGGCUAAUAGUCCUUUUUUUAGGUUUGGAAAGAAAGUUCAAUAUUCUUUCUCAAUCUUCGAGCAAUAUUCUUUGCGCCUGUCUUAUGGCACCGCGGAGUGGGCUUGCAGUCCUAGAAAUCCAUUAUUUUUUUCGUUCGUCAAUCAAAGGUUGUUAUCCUUCCUUUCUAGUCCUAUCUACUUUCAGCGCUCUUACCUCGGUCUGAGUAGGUUCAAAUCCUACAGAGCCUUCUUCUUAUCAUGCGAUAGGGAGCCAACCACUCAACCACGAAAGAUGCUUUUUCAGUUCCCUGUCUUUCUUUCCCCUGGGAAGGAAAAGAACCUUAUAGUGGCCUUUCCACGCCCCAUAUUGAUUGAGAAUACCUCGUAUUCUUGGUCUUGGUGUGUCCUAUUCCCCUAUCAAAGCCUUCUCAUCAACGGAUGGUAGGCUUUAUCUUGACUUUCUUCUUUUAUCAGAACUCAAAUUCUUUGAGCCUCACCCCCGUCCUCUUUAGAGUCCUUCGGACGUCCUCAGUCCUUUCCAUUAGUAGUUAGGAGUCUUAAGACCUCAGUCCUAUCCAUAUUAACCUGUGACGCCUUCGGACCUGUCUUAUGGCGCCUUCUAUCCUGGAAGUCUCGUCAACUCAUCUGGAGCUUUGAUUUAACCUGAAAAUAUGAAUCACUCAUAUUGCAUUGAGCCUUAACAGUCCGUAGGACUAUCCAUUAGAACUUUGAACCUCCCUCCAUAGUCAAUGUUUCUGACUCACCAUCAAUAUCCGAAGUUGCAGGAGCAAAGAAUAUUGCCUUCCACUAAGAGCAAAGUUCAUUGAUCUCUUUCUUAUUUCUUAAGACUACUCUUGACGAAUGAUAAACCGAGCCUACUGAUAAAAACCUUCUAGUAUCAGGGUCGUACGCCUGGAACACGUCGUACAAUUUCGGCGAUUACUAAAAUCAAGGAGUAUAUCCCCUCUCCCUAUCGCAGCUUCGCACCUCUCGCUUUAGUAGCUAUCGCAGCUUCGCACCUCUCAAUAAAGAAAAGCUGAGCGACUAGAUGAUUAGAACUCCUCCUCCGCGCUCCGUUUUAGAGUCCUUCGGUUAAUUACGGAUAGUCCUACUUCGGUUAAUUACGGAUGGUCCUACUUCCAUUAGAACUUUGCGCCUAGCCUUCUUUCGCAAAUUCUUUGCGCCUCCGUCGCAAAUUCUUUGCUCAUCACCCCAUUAAUAAAGUAGCUUAAAUAGUGGUCCUCCGGACUAUCCAUUAGAAUGAAUUCAGCCUCUCAAAUCCGCAAUAUUCUUUGCACCGCUACGUGGGCCACGAUCUUUGCUCCUUCUGCUUCAUGAUUUUUGGAUAGCUCUGACGGGACCAAAUUCUCAAUAUCCCUCUUAUGGAACCUUCGGACCUGUCUUAUGGCACCUUCUGACUAUGAAUAGCUAUUACUUUGAAGGACUUCUUUAUCAAGCUUAAUCUUGAAAGAAAGGUCCAGGUGACCUACAAUAUCCCUGUCUUAUGGAGCCUCCUCCAGAUAUAAGGGGUCCAUCUGACUAUGAAUAGCUAUUACUUUGAAAAGCGGAUGACUCAAAAUCUUUCUCUCUUCUCAAAUUCUUUGAGCCUUGGACUUGACUAUUUACCGUGUAGUGGGAGUAAAUACUAUUUAUGUUGGAAGAAAGCCUAGAAGUUAAUAUCUUUCCUUAUCAAUGAUCUUUGCUCCUCCUAAUCUCUUCUUUAUGGCUUCCAAACCUACACUCAUUCAUUGAUCUAUUUUGAUGGGACCUCUUUUUCAAAUAUUCUGAAUAGUCGUAGUCGUCCGGUCCGGAGGACUCGUCCAUCCACUAUUUCCUUUCCGUCGCAAAGUUCCAUGAAAAAUCAAGCUCCAGAUGAGUGUCCAUUAGAUCCAUUGAAUUUGAGAAGAUAUUCUAACCUCUCCCGCUCCAUGGGUUCCACUUCUCUCGUUCGGGAACAUUCGCCCAAUUCUUUUUCAUCCCGUCCUCCCCAAAAAGCAAAAAAUGAUGUUACGACCACUGAACAAACUUGGUUGACGAACAUGGUUUAUGCGCCGCUAAUGUAGCGGCUUGUCGAGCAUUUGACAAACUCACACCAUCCAUUUCAAAUGGGAUUUGUCCCGUGGACACACGAGCAAUCCAACCCGUAGGAUUUCCUUUUCCUCUUCCCAUUCUGACUUCUGUAGGUUUCCCGGUAAUAGGGAGAUCUGCGAGAACUCUUACCCAUAUUUGACCAUUUCUUCGGAAUUGUCCGCUCAUAGCACGAUGGAAUUGUCCGCUCAUAGCCCGACGCGCUGCUUCAAUGGCUCGAUAUGAAAGACGACCAGCUCUACAACUUUGAGUGCCAUAUCUUCCAAAACCAAGUUGUGUACCGUCCGGUUUGCAACCCCUACUACAUCUGCCUUUACGAUAUUUACUAUAUUUCGUACGUUUCGGAUAUAACACCUUCCUUUUUCUUUUUGAUAUAUGAAAUCCACACUUUGACACCUGAGAUUCCAUAACGAGUAGAUACUUCCGCAGGAGCAUAAUCGAUUUUCUGGUGAAAUACAUUACGAGAUGUUUUUCCAUACUUUCCGCAUUCAGUUCUAGCUAUUUCCGCGCCUUCUGAUCGACCUGAACAACAUAUACGGAUCCCCUCAACCCCUUUAUUCAUUACAAAUGGAAUAUCCUGAACUAUUUGACUCAAAAUGGAACGAAAUGAUCUUGUUUUCUUUCUCAGUUGAAAAGAGAUGUCUUGAGCAAUCGGAGAAGCACUUUGAUAAACAGAUUUGAUCUUGACUGACUCAAUUAAGGUAUUAGUCUUUGUUCUAUUAGACAAGAAAGAUCGCAUUUUUUGCACUUCGUUCAAAUAAGAGUUGUACCCUACGGGAAUUCUUCUGUUUCUCAGUAUGAUCUCUAUCAUCAUCUCUAUUCCCUUUAUCAAUUCUCCUAUCCAACCUAGGUCUAUGAAUUUCUCUAUCAAUUCGAUUACCUUAUCCUUACCCAUGAGGUUCCAAGAUUUGAUCCUUAAUUGACCUAGGAGUUCUUCCCGGGUAUCCUCAAAAAAAAGGUUUUUAUCCAUCCCCUCCCGCUCACAUAUAGCUGCUCCUAACUCUACUAAUGGAAAGUCCUUCGGACUCCGGACGGCUCCUCUUGAGGAGUUUUCUACCCUUUUAGAGGCGAAGGACUUGUUUAUGGAACUGAAACCUUCAUGUUCCCGGUCCCACUCCGCGGUUCCAUCUAAUUCAUGUUCCUGCUUUUUCUUAAUGGAACUCAAUGUUAUGGUAGCACCGAAGAAAGGAAAGAGCGAGAUGCUUCUUUUUCUUGUUCCCGCGAAACGAAGAUCAUUCCCUUGUCGAAUGAAGUGGGUCAACCUCUUUUUGGCUUCGGCCAAAGUCAAAGUGGUCGAGCUUUCUAGAAAAAAAGCGAUGCGAGAACGUAUUCUCUUAUCUAAGCUUCUUCCCUGUGUAUUCGCUCCCCCCUGAGUAGAUGGUUCAGCCACGCCCGGUGCCACGAAAUGAUUGAGAACGUAGACGGGGUCGAAAUGCAUUUUGUUCUUUGUAUUCAAUAAGUAUUGCAUGACCAAAUAAUGAAAGGAGGAGCGCACUGCGGGGAGGGUGAUUUUCAGUAGAUGACUCGUCGGGCCGUCGGAGCGGGACUGAUUUGGGAAAAAGAACUUGAAUAACUUCGUUUUUCUGAAGGAGUCGUCAUUUUCUAUCAGGAAGGCUAUGUCAUUUACAACUCCGGCAUAUUUCGGAUGCUUGAAGGCCCCGCCGCUGACGCGAAGUAAUUUAGAAAGAAGAAUCUUUCGAGAUGGUGAUCGGUCAUGGUAUCCAUAGCCUUCCUUCUUUUUCGGCCAAAUCCGAAUUGCCUUUUGCUUUUCCCGGUCUGAGAGCCUGAUCGACUCGACUCUUUUCUCUGCCUCCAAGGCAUCCUUAUCUUGGGGGAGUAAAUCAAGCUCCAGAUGAGGAGUCCGAACCCCUCCGAAGGAGCAAGGAGUCUUAAGCGGAGCGGCAUGAAAUUCCUCUUCCUUUCGUUCUUCUUCUCUAUCCUCGCUUGAAUGAAGACACCCGAUUGGCCCGACUUUCCCAAAUGCCCACCACCGGCCCUUCUCCUCCUUUCCGGGUUUGGAUUUUUCGCCUCCUUUCAGUCCUCGUGGUCGACGAGGAAGAAAGAAAUGAAUGAAUGUUCUUUUGGGAAAAUGUAAAAUAAUACACCUACCGAGACGAAAGCCAAAGGUCAGUCUCUCCGGUGGACGUAUCGAACCGAAAUAAGAUCUCAGAUUGACAUCUUGAUACAGUGAUUUACCAUAAUAAUAAAUAGAGUCAAUGGCGACUCCGCCGUGGCGUGGGAAGAGCCGCUUCUUUCUUGCUUGAUAGGGGGGGCUUCUAUUCACCAACGCAGACUAAAAGUGCUCUCCGAACCGUGCUGGAUAGUCACCCAUCACACGGCUCUCAAACCCAACCCGUGGUCGAUCCCGGGAGACAAAGUCAAAGCGCUUGAUCCUUUGCCCCAUACUUUGAGAUCCUCCUCCCCGCCGAUCCAAGCAGCGAGGCUACUCGUGCUCGACAAUAUCCCUGUCUUAUGGAGUGGAACUAUAAGGGGUCCAGAUGCGCGAAGAACAAAAAUCAGGCGCAAAGAAUAUUGCCGCAUCUUUGCAAAUAUUCAGGAAGGUGAAAAGAAGAAAAAUCAGGCGCGGGUGCAGAUGACUAUCCAUUAGAGAAUUUGACUUUGGAAGACUAUCCAUAUUAACCCAGAGAAAGAUUAGACUUUAUUAACUUCUUCUUGUCUUUGAGAAAGUCCGUUCGCUCACUCAGGUGGUCUGAAGUCUUUUUUAGGUUCAGACUUGUUCUGCUUUGAGAAAGGAGCACGCACCGGCCGAAGGCUCUGAAUGAAUAAGAAAUAGACAGCGGAGGUCAGAAAUUUCUUGAUUCUUAUUCCACCGAGUUGAAGCUAGCAACAUGUCGAUUACACACCGGAGGUUGGUAAGAACUGAGGGACAAUGCCCCCUCCCCUAACCGCGGAGUGGGUGGGCCUACCAGCAAAGCAAGAGGUACUUGAUCGGGCUAAGGGGGAGCGCUUUGCUUUCGUGCAAGGCCUCGCAGCAGGAAGAGGCUGUUCGAAUUUGAAAGGAAAAGCCCGGGUUCCAAACCAGCGCACCAAAAAACAAAAAGAAGUGAGCCUUCAGACCGAAAGAACAAAUAAGAUAAGAAGAGCAGCUAAAAGGAAGGAAAGAGAUACGAAAGACAUGUCUUAAGCAUUAAGGAAGAAUUGAAUUUUGAUGCCAAGAAGAAAGAGGUUAAAGACAUAAUAUCUCAAGAGGAAAGCCUACCAUAAAUCAGAGGUUAGGAGCAAAGGAUAUUGACGCGCCUUGUUUUCAUUGACGAAACCUCUCCUUUAUCGCCUUCUCUCUCACGCAAUAUUCUUUGCGCCUUUGAUUUGCCUCCGGCUCUAUCAAGUCAUCAAGAUCAAGCCUAGCCUGAAUUCACAAGGCUCAAAGAAUUUGAGGAAUGAAUGAAUGACGCUUCUUCAACGGCUUUCUCUUUCUGACAAAUAGUAGGUUCAUUUUACUUUCUUCUUUUUCUACUUUAGUGGAAUAAGACUUAAAUAGUGGGACUUCGAAGAAGUCAUUUAGUGGUCACAUAUUAAGCUGCUCCUAACUAGUGGUAAAGGGUAGAUUCAUUCAUUCAACUCAUCUGGUCCGAAGGCUAGGUUCAUACGGAUAGUCCGGAGGACGGUUAGUUGGGCUUUUCUUUUUGGAGGAUCAAUGAAAUUUGAGAGAGUCAUGAUUCGGAGGUUAAAUAGGGCAAUAUUCUCAAUCUGAAAAGAGCCUUUCUUCUUUUCUUAGAUAAAUGCGCUUCGCUUCGCGCAUCUGGACCCCUUAGUUAGUCUUAUUGCACAGAUGUCUAAUUUUUCAGUGGAAGGCAAUAUUCCCCAUAUUAAGCUACGGAGGCCCCAUAAGACAGGGAUAUUGAUUGAGAGGUGCAAAGAUCUAUGGCCCAGCGGUGCCAUAAGACAGGUCCGAAGGACUAUCCAUUAGGGAAUGUGAGAAGCGCAUGAAAUUCAGAGGUGCAAAGAAUAUUGCGAAGGCUCAAAGAAGAUUGAGAAAUCCAUAUUAAGCGCCUAACGGAGGCUCAAAGGAUAUUGAGACAUUCUUUCUUUUUCAAUAGUGGUCCGGAGGCGCAAAGAAUAUUGCGAGGCGAAGGACUUGUUUCAGUUCCAGGCUUCUUUGCUCCUAACGCCACUCUCAACAAUAUCCCUGUCUUAUGGCACAUCUGCACCCUUGUUUUUUUUUGGAUAGCUCUGACCGAAGGAUGAAUUCAAUUUUCGAGAGAGAAAGAAUAUUUAUGAGAAAGAGUCUUCUUCUUCACUUAUGUCCGUAGGAGCCCCAUAAAUCAGAGGUUUUUUUUCUUUCUGAUCCUUAUUCACUUUUCCUUAUCAACAAUGAAAACAUGAAUACUAUUAUGAACCUUGUUCAUUGAUUUUAUGGAGUUCGGAUUGCUCGAAAAGAAGGAGGAUAGGCGAACCUUUUCCUUUCACCGCCUCAAUGAACAAGGGCCUCUUACUAGUAGGUUCUGGAGGCGUAGUAGGUUUAGUAAAAGAAAGCCUAUCUUUCUCUCAAAUUCUUUGAGCCUCUAGAGAAUUGAAUUUUGAUGCUUCCUUUCCUGACUGAACUUUCUCUUCCUAUUUCUUUAUGGAUGUUCAUUGAUUUCUCGUCUUAUUUGAGUCUUAUUCCUUUUAGUAUUUUUUAGGUUCAUUCUCAGGAUAGGUUUUUUUUCAUGAAAAUGUACGAUUUAUCUUAUUCAAAAUAUGAUACAUAAUAUCAGUCUCGUUUUGACUGUCCAAAUCAAGGUUCAAAGAAUAUUGACAAAUCCUUCCCCCCUGUAUUUUUGAUGAAAACCCCAUGCUGAAUUCCCUUGCUUCAUUUUGAGCAUGAAAACAAAGAACAGAAUGGCGAUCAGAAUUUGAGUCUUGUCUCUUUCAUUCUCAGUUCAAAGGAAUGAGCUAAAAUAUUAUUCAUUCAUAUGAAAUUCAGUAUAAGCUGAAGACACAUAAGGGCCCUAACCAUAUUUCGGCUCGUGAUCAAUCCAUAGAUACCGAUAGAAAAGAAAUAGGCACUUCUAAUAAGUACAUCUUCUCGCUGACCAACUCCUUAUCAAUUCCGAUUCAUUGAAAUAUGAAGAAAAUGGAUGAAAUGCAAUUUGGGGGUCGAUUUAGGUAGGCUCCUUCCCCUCCACUGCAUAGGAGCGCUAGCAGGUACUACGAGCCCUCUGUCCCACGCAUCUAACCCGCUCGCGUGGUUCACCGGUUCCACCGAAAACUCUCAUUUGUUGAAGGGGAGCAUAGUGCGCUUUAGGCACCGAGCGAGAAAGGUCUCUUCUUUCGUUUCGGUUUAUUCACUGAUCUGAAACUUAGCACUUCUUUUCUGAAACUUAGCACUGGGCUAGGCCUUCUUUCAUUCAGUCGAGACGAACCGAAUUAGCACUUCUCAGAUCAGGCUAGGCCUCUCCUGCUCGGGCUUAGGGGCCCUGGAUGCGCUAGCGAUCAGCACAUAGGGGGUGCUUGCCCGGGUUUCUCGGCCUGGUAUCCUGCACCUCGCGUUCAUGAUAUCUACAUUCAACUGUGCCCCGGAGACAGGGUCGAAGCACGCCCAGUGUGCUUCUUUCACGACAUGCUCUGGUCCCGGGUGUCUUCCAGUGGUCUUCUAGCCUUAGAAGAAGUCGUGUCCGUCCAGAAAGCCUAAAGAUGAAAUCAAAAAAAGGAAGACGUAGAAGGUAAAGGAGGGAGCGGACUACGGAGGCCUUUGAGUGGAAUCUUUGAUACAUUCUUAUAUGAGUCCGACCUAUCGAAAGUAGCGGAGGUUAUGAAAUAGCGCUCUUUUUUUUAUCAUAGCGAAUAGUCCGGAGGACAUGCCCUAGGAAUGAAGCUGAACCUUCGCUUCUCUUGAGAUAAUUCUUUUCUCAUAUUCAGUCAGAAGAACCGAGAAGUCUUUUUUGGUAAAGCUAAUCAAUAUAUAAGGAAUAGUCGCAAUAUUCUUUGCGCAUCUGGUCCCUUUUAUUUUGUUCUUUGCACUGGGGGAGGGAGCAAAGUGCAAAAACAAGGGUCCAGGUGACAGGUGGAAAUCUUGUUGAAGACGACCCACUCCGCGGUGCAAAGUCAGCCCUUCGUUAAUUACGGAAAGUCCUACUUCCUUCCAUAUGGAUGGUCCUACUUCGGUUAAUUACGGAUGGUCCUACUUCCAUAUGGAUAGUCCUACGGAUAAGAAUCCUCCGGACUCCGGACUACUUCCCUCCAUAUGGAUGGUCCUACGGAUAAAUCACCUGGACCUUUCUUUGGCCCUGCGGACUCCGGACCCUGGACCUUUCUUUGAUGGUCCUACGGAUAAAUCCUGCGGACUCCGGACGGAGGCGCAAUUCAAUAUGCGGGGAAUGUGAGAAGAGCAGCUCCAGCUAAAAUCAAGCUCUGGAUGAGUCUUUAUCUUAGGAGCAGCUUAAUAUAGACCGAAGGAGGCGCAAUGAAAUAUGCCUUGAAUGAAUGAAUGAAUCUACCUUUUUAACAUAAUCAGAGAUGAAAGUCAGAAAAUCAAUGAAGAAGUCAAUGCCCACGGAGUUCAUAUAGUAUUCAUGAAAAGGAAUUUCAUUCAUGAUCGAGGCUCAAAGAAUUUGAGUCCCACGCUUUUUUGCUUUUCUUUCUAGUCCAAGGACCAUUCGGUGACUUUCGCGGUCGCCCUCACUGAACCGACUUGAAUCUGAACUACGAUUCUGAUCAAGUCUUACCGAAAUCUUAUUUCCUUUUCGUGCCAUAUGCGCUUAGACUUUCUCCCCCUUGUUUUUCCCGGUCCAAUCUUUUUUUCUCGCUUUCGAUCUCCCAAGCAAGUUCACCAAUGUCCUGAUCAGUCAAAGAAAGCCAUAUACAUUCCUCCUUGGUUCCCCCCGACUCUUGGUAGUAGGGAGUCUUCGAUCUGAGAUAUCGGUAUUCAGUUUCUUUCUUACUUAAUUCGUUCUCCACAAAAUGGGAGAUUGGAAUAAGAGGAACUUUCUCACGGACAAGGGCAUUUCUCUCUUCCCCGGCACACUUGCUAUAUCCACUAAGGCUUCGUUAUCGGUUGCAUGCUAUAGAGCUAUGUCGUCGAGACUCUUUCUUUUUUCUCUCGCGUAAGCCCUGCCCUAUUCUAUAUACUAAAAUGUCAAAAGCUAGGAUCAGCGCAAAGAGCAUUCUUACUUGACCAAAACCCCUUUGGUUCUCACUGAAUUUGAACUCGUAGACAGACAGAGAAAUCGGAGAAGUUGCCAACGUCUUUUUGGGCAUCACCUUCCCUCGGCGACGUCCAUCUCAAUGUUCAAAACUCCAUAUAGCAUAAGGAAGAAGAAAGCCUACGCUGCAAGCUGUUUACACUCUGAGGAAUUAGGGAAUGCGGUGAGGGAUUGAAGUAUAGAGAAGUUCCUGCGUCGCGCCCACUACGCGGUUGGGAAGGAAAGGUUUCGGAUUGACUGGCUUCGUGAGAGGUUGAAGCUGUACCAUCUCUAUCUGCAGAAGCUGUAGCCCCAUCUCUUUUAGCAAGUUCUAUUCCUUAUCAAUGACUGAAUUCAAUUAAGGCUAACUACUUAGAUAAAGCUAGGCUAGGGUCACUACUGUGGCUGUGUGAGAUAUGGUUUGUGUGCCGGUGGAGUAUCUAAAACCACUUCCUCAUCCCCCCCUUGUUCAUUGAGGCGGUUGGCUUUCUUGCUUUUCUUUUUGAAGUUUGAAAAGUCCUGUGAAACUAUAAGGAAUUCAGCUGUCAAGGAAGAAGAAGGAGGGUUUGAAUAUGAAAUAGUCUUUGGUUUAGUGAAUCUAGAUUGGAACUGCUGUCCUUUCUCUUUUAUCAAGGAAUGAAUCUAGCUAUCCUGCUUAGCUACUAAAGCUAGGGUUGCAGAGGCAUCAAAAUGCAAUUCUCUCUACAAAGCUUUUUUUGUUCUGACUUGCCGCUGCUCUAUCUCCUUUCCCAUAGAGAAUCUCACUAUUGAUUCAUUGGGCGAAAAAUGGUAUGUUUCAACUCAAAUUCUUUGAGCCUUGUUCAUUGAUGGCCUAAAUGCUAUUUGCCUUCUACUUCCUAUAGGAUAUCCUGCUUUGUGCUACUUUCAUUCAUUCAAGGCAUAUUUCAUUGCGCCUUCUUUUUGUCCAUUUCGAUAGAUCGGAUUUGGCCACUUCUCUUCCGACAACAGCUUCCGUAACAACCCAAUCCUCGAUCUCACUAUGGUUAACACAUGCAAUUGGAAUUGGCUCUUUCCUCCUUUCAUUUCAGGCAAGGACUAGAGUCCGCUUUUGAUAAUAGGUGGACAUAUCUCACGAAUACGGUUGAUGCCAUAAAUAUGGACACGCUAGGGGACUGCGGGGCAAGGGCUUUGCUAUGGUCAACAAUCGGGCUUCAUGCCAUCAUCCCUGAAUUUUGACUAUGCAUGCUUGCUCUUCGUACAGUGAAGUUCCUUGCAGCAAUCGGAUUUUUCAAACCUUGCUCCUCUAAGAGUUCCGGGCAAUCGACAAGUACCAACCAGAAAGUGAAAGUGGAAUGAGACAUAAGAAAAGAAACUUACUCAUUCAUUGAUCUAUUUUGAUGCCAUUCAGUUCCAUUAGACUUUUAAGUGCUUUCGUCUUAUUUUUAGGUUUAGAAGGCGCAAAGAAUAUUGCGAGGCGAGGAAGAAUUUCAAAAAGAAAGAAUGUCUCUUCUCAAAUACUUUGAGCCGGAGUUAGGCGCAAAGAAUAUUGCGAGACCGCUCCGAAGGCUAGGCGCAAAGUUCGGUUAAUUACGGAAAGUCCUCCUUCGGUUAAUUACGGAUAGUCCUACUAGGUCCAUAUUAACUUUUCACGAAGAACGUCAAAGUAUUGAAAUAGAAGAAAGAGGUACUGCUCCUCGUUCAACUUGUGUGAAUUGCAGUUUCCCGGUAACAUCCAUAGGAAGCGAGACCCUAAAGAGAGAGAGUCCGCUCUCCCGGAUUGAGUCGGGGAGGAUUAGUAGUUGGAUUCCGGAAUUGAAUAACUAAGAGAAAGCGAUACCGUAAACUGAGAAGCCUCCGACGGCGAGUACUCUUUGGAGGAGUCAAAUCAAAGCUCCAGAUGAGUUGACGCUCGACGAUAAGAGGAUCGGGCUUGCUCUCUAACUAAUAGAAGUACUGGUAAGACCUCUAGAGGUAAGACCUCUGAAAGGGUAAGACCCAGAGACUUCUUUCUUUGAGUUUUCCUCUUCUUCAUCCUUUUGUCGCGCUGACUCUUCCUAAUUCUUUUAGUACUUCUUCCUCAGUCAGUUCCCUAGCCUCUACCCUACUCUUUCCAGUUUGCAUGUGUUAAGUAAAGCCUCUCCGCAAUAUUCUUUGCACCUCUUCGAAAAAACUAGAUGAAGAAGGCUAGGCUUUCUCUUUAUUUUAGUAGGUUCUUUGGAUAGGCUUUCUUAAGAAUAAGUUGCUUUGGCUAAGAAUAGGUUUCAUUCUCAAUGAAUUAAUAGAACAAUCAAUCUCAGAAAUGAGAUUUCGAAAUUACAUAAGUUAAGAACUGGUAGUUCUUGCUUUCUCUAUCGAUCGGAUUCUGAUCUUUCUGUCUUGAGAAGGCCCCAAGAAGCCUUGUAGUCGGCUGGUCCACGUAUGCUUAGUACAAAGCAAUAGAGAAGAGAUCUUUGAACUAGCUUCUUUCUAAAAGGAAGACGGAGAAUAAAGGCAUAAGAGCUUCAUUCUCAUUCUUCAUUGACAUAGGUUCCAUUUCAAAAGCAAAACUCAUUACUACUUAUUAGUUCUGCAUUAGUAUUCUUCUUUCGUAUUUAUGAUUUCGAAAUCCUAUGAACAUAGAAUAUCAACAAAAAACUCCUGCUCAAUGAAUUCAGCCUUGCUAACCCACCUUUCUACGCUUCUCAAUUUCAUCCAGCCUUCAGCCUCUUUACGAGCAGCCCCGCCCGACCUUGCCAUACUGGUCUAUUCAGAGAAAAUGGAGAUGAGGCUUUCCGAUCUGGUCCGAACCCUACUUCUUAGUUAUUGCUGGCGGGCUAGUCAAGUUCAAGAAAAGAGAAACUAACUCGUAAAACCCUCAUACCUGCUCUCCGGACCAAGGUCUAGCGGACUCUUCCUUUAGUGCUCGAACCAUCAACCUUUGCCUAUUUAAUAGAAUGAAUGACUUGCACUCCUCGCAAUAUUCUUUGCGCCUGGAAGUCGCUUCGCGCACCUGGUCCGAAGGACUGACCGCAGAGGUUAGAAGUUUCCAGAUUUCUAAUGGGCAAUAUUCUCAUAAAAAGUGGAAGGUGCAAAGAAUUUGCCGGGCUGAGGCUGAAUUCAAUAUGAGAGGCUCAAAGAAUUUGAGAGAAGCGAAGUGCAUUCAAUGGAGAGAGAAAGAAAGGCUCAAAGAAGAUUGAGAAAUCCAUAUUAUGCGCCUCCUUCAGCAUAAUCUAUAAGAGGAUUUGCACCUAGGGAUCAUGACUCAUCGCAAUAUUCUUUGCACCGCUCCGCUCCGUGGGUCUGCGAAAUAUUUAAACGAUGACAUUCUUUCGCAAUAUUCUUUGCGCCUCUGACUUUUUUCCUAUAAACAGCGUAGGAAGGACGUCCUCUGGACCUCUCUUAUCCACUAAGUCAAAGGCCUAGGCUUUCUUCAGUAUUUUUUAGAGGAAAUAAACCUCAUUUUUACCGCCCCGUGGGAGGGGUUCAUUCUCAUGCAAAGGCCUCUCUCCAUACUAAUUCUUUCAAAGCGAGGAGUUGCAAGCUACCUUUCAGAUUCAAGAGAUCAUGAAAGCGGAACAAGGAGAGAAAGGACGACUGAUUCAAGAGGGUUGCUCUCGCAGCUUCGCUUUUCAUUAGUUUGGCGUCCUUCUACUUCAACAUAGAAUUCCCUAUUAUUCAUGAAAUGAACCGUCCGCUCGAUCCGUUAUAGGGCAUUGAAGGCAUAAGGCAAAUAGCCUGACUUUUGACUCGUCCGAAGGACUGAUUUAUCCAAUUAUAAGGCUGAAAGAUCUCAAUCUUCCUUUCUUAGUCGAUUUGAGGUUCCAAGAUUCCUUCCCUGAAACCCCCUGGUUGGGUUAGGAUCAGCUUUACCCGGAAUAGCUCGAGAAAAAAGGAGAGGAGUGGAACUGCUCGACUGUAAGGAGAGGAUCAAGGCUCGAGAGUAAGGAGAGGAGAGGUCAGAAUCCGUCCCAGUCCCGGAAGAGGUUAGAAUAGAAAGACCGCUCGAUUCAAUUGAGUCGACUGAGUUCUUUCAGGAGAUAGAAAAGGGGAAGGAGUCCAGAAUAUAAUAGAGGGGAAUUCGCUUUCAGCAGUUGCAAGAAGAAGAAGUCGAUUUUCUUCUUCCAGUUGAGGAUAUUAUUCUCUUUCUUUCUUUCUCUUUCUUUCGUAGAUGAACAAACUCAUAUUCCCAUUAGUAGGAGAAAUUAAGGCAUUGAAGGAGAAUCAAGGUAAGACGAUCUUUCCCUAGCUCGACAGCUAAGAGGCACCCUCCCCAACUAGGGAGAAAGUAGGGAGACCAAAUAGGAUAGAGGGAGAAAGUCGAUCAUAGGUUAGGCUUACCCAAGCCGCUAUCCGGUCAGAAGGCUAUCUAUCAAUCGUCCGCAAGGUUAGCCGCAUGAGAACUGGUGUGUGGAAGCUUAGCUUAGAAAGGCGUCUUGUCCUAAUUCCCCGUGUAAUGAAUGAAAUCAAGUUUUCAAAGUAAUCAAAGCUUCAUGUGUUGGCGAAGAACUUUCACAAUUCAAUAAGAAGAAGAAGAAAGCCCACCUUCCAACUGAAAUCAAGCUGAGGCGCUUCGGUUAAUUACGGAUAGUCCUACUUCGGUUAAUUACGGAUGGUCCUACGGAUAAAUCCUCCGGACUACUUCCAUAUGGAUAGUCCUCCGGAUAAAUCCUGCGGACUCCGGACUCCGGACUCGAAGAUUGAGAAAGAAUUUGAGAAAGAAUUGAGUUGAGUGAUUCACACUGAAAAGCGUGAGGGUUGUCGGCAAGGAAAGCCUCCGAUAAGAACCUAUAACCAUACAUAAUUCGAUUACAGACUCAAACUCUCGACUACUACAUCAAUCCACAGGAAUUCCUAACAUAGAAAAGAUCUCCACCUCCUCGAGGCUAUAAAAAGGGAAAAGAGGCCUGACGGAGCAAAAGAAGAGUUGCGGGGGGCGAGGCAAUGCCAAUUGAGAUAGUUGAAUCGGCGGUAGACUAAAAAUCCCCAAUUCCCCGGGUUCUAUGGGGAAAGUCCCCCUCUUAUUCAAGUAGUGAAGAUUUCGCUUCGGUAAGCAUUCGUCAACUCAUCCGGAGCUUCUCAAUAUUCUUCUAGGUGCAAAGAAAGAAUAUUGCCUUGAAGAGAUGCCAUCUGAUCUUUCCUGGUAAAUAAGGGCAAGGCCAAAAAGACUAAGGAUUUGCAAGAACUGAAAUUCAAGGAAAUGGAUCUUUUUUUUUGAAUAAUAAGCUAAAGGGGCGCAUCGGUAAAGACAUUAGACUUAGCUCUUCAGGAUAAGUGGGAUCAAUUCUUUGCGGCACCCGGUCCAAGAGAAGAAAGACUGCGCUUUCUCUAUGCGAUUCCAUGAUCUACUUGGGAGGAAUCCGUCGAUGUGGUCAAGCUCACACCUCAAUGUGUGGAAGAAAAGAAUACAGAUCGAAUCAUCACCGGAGAGGAAUGAAGUAGGGAGACUGGGUCUUAGUAGAAGAAAAGUGAACAAGGUGAGACCCACUCCGAUCCCGAUAAUAGGGCUAGGGCCCCGAUCCUCUUCUUCUCGAGCUCCUCCUCUUUCUACUCCCAACUCCGCAUCGGGGACUGGAAGAAGAUCUUCCCUCUUACGAUACUGGGAAGGCAUACUGGGUACGGUUCUCCUUCUCCUACCGCUCCGUGGGAUUCUUUAUCCAAAGGACAGAGAUCCGAUGAUCCUGCCAAAGAGAAAGGGAUGGCGGAUCCCCGCUUCCCCUCUGCCACUGAAGAAAGAAGAGCAAAGGGUCAAAGAAUUUGAGUGGUCUCGCCGCUGAACUCCUUUCGUACUCAACCUCUUCGGUCAUCCUUUAAGAUAUGGUCAUUCAACUCAUCUAGAGCUUUUCUUUUUGGAUUCCUAAGCUCGGUGAGGUUAUGAUGCCCCCCAGCCCGAAAUAAAUAGAAGUCGUAGUAUUUUCCUUCUCUCGUGGGUGAAGCUCCUUCCCUCCUUGUACUUAAUAAGAAAUUAUAUCAGAGAAGAAUGAUCGAAGCUAUUUUACUUAAACCUUCCUUAAGAGCUUCGCUCCCUUCCCUCUUAUCUGACCUCUAAGAUGAGGCCUCAACCCGAUAAUACUGGGUUUCAUGCGCAAUGAAUAAGAAAUCGCCGACGGCGAAUCAAAUUGGCCUUGCAGAAUUCACUCUCCCGGAUCGAGCGGGUUUACAGUCUAUAAUCACUGUAUUGAGAAUAAUAUACUCUAUGUGGAUAGGAGCUAGUCCUACUAUUUAUUAAGCUCGCAACGGCUGGUCUUUCUACUUCUGACCACGAGGGAAACUGAUCAUGGAGAUUCCGACACCUAUCUGACCUAUUAUUUCCUUGUAAACUCAGGAAAGGAUAUGAUAACCUCUUCUUCUCCUUUACGGGAGAGCAUACCUGGUCUCACUCAAUUAGAUCCUUCGAAUAGAAUAAGACGGUCAAGCAUAUUCAUUCCUCGUAUGAAGAUGGAAGACUGAAACUCGGUCUCUACUCUCCAACCCUCUAACCUCUCUUUCACCUGCCUGGAUUUGGGUCGAGAAUCCCAUUCUACCCGACUAACUAAGUCUGAUGAAAGCUAGCCUUACGAAAUUUCAAACAAAAGAAAGCGCAAAUGGGGUGGAAGCCUCAGGCUACUUCCUUUCCUCUCUCCGCAUGGAUUUUGGUGAGGUUCAAAGAUCCAUGAAAAAUCAAGCUCCAGAUGAGUUUCAAGUUUUUCAACAUAUUUCUUCUUUCUUCUUGAAGCUAGGGCAUCCUCCUAUCGGGUGAGUUGAUGCUAGGGUGGUGCUUGCUCUUAACCAAGUGCCUGAAAGAAAAUUGCUCAAUCAUCCCAUUCCGGGUUCUUUUUUGAACCUUCUUUUUUUCCUGAUCAAAUCUCUAAAGAAAGAGAAGAAGACAAGUUGGGACAUCUUAAUCCCAGUGAAAAGAGAAAGAAGGCUAAUUGGCUUAUUUCUUCAUUCAUUGUCUGAGAAAGGAUUGGUUUAUCCCCUUUUUUAGGCCGAGGACCUUGGGAAAGCUAGCUCAUUCCCCUACUGAUCUUUCAACUACCGCUUCAAAGUAAGCCGCUCCUCCUUCCCCUCACUCGCCGACUCCAGCACCGCUACGUGGGCUUGGAAUGGGUGAGGACAGACGAAGCUCCCUAUAAAAGAGAAAAGAAUUUGAUACGCCUCAUCGAGAUUGACUCCUUUUCAUUCAUCGAUAAAGACCGAGGGGAAUUCGGACAAGAGGCCUGCCGAUCACUCCCCGCAAUCAGACUCGGUGGCCGGUCGAGCUCAGUCUUCUCUUCUUGCAUCCAUCAGGAAAUUCUGCAUGAAGAAAAUAAGAAAAUACGAUUUCAUCCUUUUCUUUCGUACUCUUGUACUCAAAUAGACCGAAUUCAAUAUCUUCUGAAAAGAAGAAGAUAUCCUUUUUUUCUUGAAAAGUGACCUCAUAAUCCGAUAUUCAGGAGCGGAGUGGGGAUUUGAAAGAGUAUUCCAAAGAUUACUAUCGGGGCGGAGAGGUGCGAAGGAUUGAGACGGAGUUCACUCAAAAGAAGAAGUCUACUUAAGAAGAGCUUUAAGAGAAAGAGAAGUCAUUAGACGAGAUCACUUAUCUUAUAUCUUUUUCAUAUUUAUGUGCCCGAUUAUGAGGAUCGAGAUUUGAGAACUGAGUGCUUAAACUCUUUCUCCGGUUCGGGGCAUAAGGAUGAGGCUUCGGCGGGACGGACGGAUUAGUCCUUACCUCCCACUCAAGUCGACUUUUCCUCUGAUAAUGGAGGAGGGAAUCCGGGGGAUACGAACUCCCUCUCUCCAACUAGCUCUACCCUGGUCACUGGGUCAAGUAACUCCUCUCGCUUUAUUAGUUUAGCUCGAGCCUCCUCUCAUACGGCAUAUAUGGCUUAGUGAGAGAUCCUUUACUUACAGUGGGGCUGGGGAUGCAAGAAGAGAAGAGGAAUCUGUCUCGGAUCGAUAACUAAUCCAUAGUUUUCUUAGAAGGAGAAGUUCAGGCUUUUCUUCUAUUUGGCUGAGGCUGUAGCAGUUCUUGAAGAAAGAUUCCCUUCUAUAGCUCAAAGAAUGAUCGAAGAAAGCAUUCUCAAUUCUGACUCGUGUAGUGAGAUUUUGAAAUUACGUAAUUCAGGUGCAAUCAUUACGCUAUCGGCCUGGGGAAGAAUGAAGAUCUUCUUAUUCUCUUGAUCUUUCGAAAACCUUACGCCCACUUAGCCCUCAGUGGCCGAUAUACAGGUGCCUGCGAAGCCGGUCAAGGUGAGGGUAGAGUACAAAGAGAAAGUUUCCUCUUUCUUUCCCUAUCCUUUCAUAUAAGAGAGAAUAAAGACUUUGAUGAUUAAGCUUCAUACUGAAAGUGCUCAUUCAUCACUAGGUUUUGCCGCGGAAUGAAAAGGCAGAAUUCGCAGAAUUAGAGGAAGAAGACAUAAAGGACCUCACUCUUCCUUAUCAAUGAAAACCUUCUUGAAGUAGCAGUGUCGGAAUCUCCACUCACCCCGGUCAGCAAGGAAUCCCUCUCUUUCAUCAGAGGAUGCUGACUAAGCUCCCCCUUCUAUAGAAAUGAUAGAGAGUUCAGGCAUAAUCAUUCAAUUCUUCCUUCUUUUUCUAGUAGGUUUUGUUCCUAUCUUAUGUUUCGGCUCUUGCUCUCCUCAUCCGUGGGUUUUUCCUCAAGCCUCAUCCCUUUCCUCAUUAAGAGGUCUUCUUCAUACGAGGUAGAUAUUAUGGUACGAAAGGUCUACAUCAAUCUAUAUUCACGCUGGCCUUUUCACAUGCGGGAAGUAGUGGUCUUUCUCCUUCAUUCAACGGCAUGAAUUACGGUCUGGAGCUAGGAUAGGCUGCUGGUAGGGAUCAAAUUACUCUAGUGGAAGGAAUAUGCCAAUUCUCAGAUCGAAGGCCAGACCCCGAAUAGCGAAGUGGAGACAGGAAUCGGGGCUAAGUCGCUGGACCGCUGAUAGGGAAUCAAGGUAAGAGGCUCCCCCUGAAUUAGUUCUUUCCGCGGUUGCUUAAGUAGACGCUGUAGCCGUUGAAGGUCUUAUGGAUAGAUCCGCAAAGAAAGAAGUGGGAUUUCACUCUUUGUAGUACUGGGAUUGAGAAGGAUUGAAUUUCCCAUGAAAUAGAGUUUAGGCCGACGGCCAAUGCAUGCAUCAGGCAUCUUUCUCCUUCUCCUUAAAGAACGGAGACAGCGGCGGCACCAGACCGACCAAUUCAUAGUUCAUGCGCGGAAACCCACAGAGGGUAAAGGACAGCAGCUCCAAUCCUGGCACCGCUACGUGGGGAAGAGAAGAGUUCUGAUCCCUCCUCCUACGCACAUAUUGAAUAAGCUUUCAAAAGGUAUAAAUCUUCUCUUCUGAUCUUUCUCUUAGAAGAUAGAGGAAGAGGAAAGCCUAUGGAAUACUCUGGAAAUCAGAUAAAAACCUUCUACUCGUCUUUGAAAUCAUAAAAAACCUCUUCUCAAUCUCGCACAAUACCCCUUUUUUAUGGAGCCUCCUUUCGUCUGCUUUUUAAUAGAAUGAAUGACUUCCUCGCAAUAUUGCGCAUCUGCGUGGGCCACGAUCUUUGCGCCUUCUCUCACUUCGGAAAGAUUUAGCAGUAUUUUCUUAUGAUGACCUGGUCUUCCGAGUAUGAUACAUCGGUGUAAAAGAUUGAGUGGGAGUUCGGAUCUCGAGUACAAGCCAAGGAGAAAGACUGCCAUCUCAGGCAUACCAUCGACAGAGUAAGGAAAGGACAGUUGCUUUCUAGCGAGUCACUCCGUCUCCUUUUUUUUGGGGUAACCCCUUUGCACCAUUGUGCUUACUUACAGGUAAGGGGAAAAUCUUAGAAGUGAAUCACGUUCGAGUGCUUCUGUCUUCGAGCCAGUACCCUUUCGUCACAAGGGAUAAAGGAUAAAGAAAGUCUCUGUUAUUCACCAGUGCGUACAUUGCCUUUUCAAGCGGCUAGUUUCUUGCCGUUCAUAUAGAUCACUAAGGCUAGACAGCAAAUAAGCUAGUUUAGUUCCCUCACUGAUCCCUUUCUUAGCCAGAACAGUUAGAAAAGGAGGAUUAUUUCAAGUUCAUUUUUGAUAUUCAUAUUCACAUGGGACAAUCUUUCGAGUCCUAUCUCUACGGGACAUGAUAUCCAGCUCUAGCUUUCCUUGUAUAGGGUUCUAAAAUACAUCCGAAUCCGAGGAAUGACUGCUCUUACUAAGACCUGAAGGAACUUUUGAAAGGCAACUAGUGAAGAUGCGCCAAUACCCCUCUUUCCAUAAUUAUUGCUGAGACAUGCUCCGAGAGGGUUAGCCCCAGCUAUCAAGAUGGGCUAAAAUAAAAGGUCACACCUCUGUCCUAAAAUCAAAGGAAGAUCUCGGGAACGGCUCAGAACUGCCAAUAAGGAAAAAUCAAGCUCCAGAUGAGUUGACCUAUCCAUUAAACAAGUCCGGAGGACAGGUCAAAACACCGGAAAAAAAAUUGCUUAAUCAGGUGGUAAUUGAAAAAGGCUUGCUUAAGGGAGCUCAAGGCCCAUUCACUAUGGGUGCCAGCCCUUACAGGCUACCUACCGGAUCACUACGGCACGUGAGGCAACGUCCUCUACGAAAAGAAUUCUGAAUUGGUCCGCAGCUCAUACUUCAUUUUUUUCCCCUAUCCGAAGAAAAUUAGGCGGUUGUUGGAAAUACGGAGGGGGCCACUGGUAAAGUGGGAAAGAGGAACUGUAUUGAGAAAGUCUACCACAGUUUCCCGAUAAGGGAAAAGAGAUCUUGAUUGACAAGCAAGCAUUUCCCAAGACCGCACAAGCAGCGCCGCUUUCUAUUCAUGACCACUCCCGAAUCAGAAGGUGAACCUACGGCCGUAGACUUUGAAGUUGCCCAAGGCUCAAAGAAUUAUCGAAGAGCAGGCGCAAAGAAUAUUGCGGCAAGUUUGAAAGCCUUUAAGCAUUCCCCGGUGCUUAUGCACCUUCUAAAAGUCUCUGUCCCUGUAUCGUCAAACUAUUAAGGAAACUUCUUUCAUAAGCAUAGCUUAUCUUUAUUGUAUAAUAGCUAACCAAGAGCUUGAAAGCGGCUACAGUACUUAUUUGAUUUGGAUUGCUUUCCUCCAGCUAUACUACGGAAGGAAUAGCUUUCCCUGGCGUGUUGAAGCUUGACGAAGAUGAAAUGAAUUGGGCAUUUGUCCCGUCACAAGAAUCAGCGGCAACCCCUUCUCUUCCUUAGUGGCACAAGCCUCCUUUUCUAUUCAUGGGAGCAGUAAAGGGAGAACUCAAUUCCAUUCUUUUUGAAAGCAUAACUUGGGCUGUUGUCGAGCUAUCCCUCACCUCGAUGAAAAUACGGAUAAAAGUCUAUCUGGCCCUCAUAGGAAUCGAGGAAAGAAGGAUUUUAGCAGCUGGGUAGUUGAGUUCUCCGCUGUUCGAGCUUUAGAGGAAAUAGCAAAUCCUAGAUCACCGAACGAAACUCUGGGAAUUGAUAGAUAGCAAGAAGUUAGGCCGUCACACUAUCUGGUUCUGGAAGUUCUAUAGCUUUCUUUGAUUGGCUAAUCCGAACAAAAAAAAGAACCCUAAUAAAGGAAAAGGCAUGACGGACAUCAAUCCCGAGGGGAAGAAAAGAGGCACGAGUGAUAUCUCACUGGGGAAGAAAAGCCAUAACCCUAUCUGCAAAGAUCCACAGGCACUCCUAAGGCUUGGUGAGCACUUAGUCAUUAACAAAGAUUACCUUCUCCAUUUGAUUUAGAGAAAGUAUGCUCCUGGCUUGCCACCCGAAGAAGGGAAUUCUAUUUCAUACGUUUUCCUGUGGCUUGAGUUCUGAGACGAAGAUAAGGCUUGCCUUUGAAGGGACAUAUGGAAGAGCAUCUACGAUGCGGAGCUUGUGCUUGCUGCCUAUCCACUUGGCGAGUAAGAGGCUCUGUGCAAGAGUGGAAGGUAUUCCUUCUGCCUUUGGCUGCUCUUCUUAGCCUAGCCGCUUCGUGGUCAUUCAAUUCUGGCUUAGUCAAUCCCUGAACUUGCCUCUGUCAAUAUUCUUUGAACCUGCCCCUUUUAGUUUAGUAGUGCUUUAGUCAUUCCCGAACCCCCUCCUUUGCUAUUGGACUUCUUUGAAGUCGAGACUGAUUCCGAUCCUUGUCAGUCUAUAAUACCUCUCCCUCAACUGAUCAUUCCUCUCUUCUGUGCUUCACACAAUUAGUAGGAGCUUUCCAAAGAAAUAGCUUAGUAGCCACAACGGAAUCAUUAGCUGACCUGUCUUUCUUAGAAUGCUUUCCUUAUUCCUUUCCUUAAGCAAAGGAGUCAAAGACCUCCCUAACAAUUGAAUAGCGUAGUUUCGUAGCCGAGUCAGUUGCCUUUUAUUCAAUCUUUCUUUGGAGGAAGUUCAAAGUCUUUCUUAGAUUAUUCAGGGGGCAAGGAAUCCAAGCGAAGUGGUCAUACCCGAGACAAAAGAUAAAUGAAACUGGGUUCAGAUCCUUUCUCAAUCAGUUAAGCAUUCUCCUUCGCUCAAUUCAAAGUAUCGGGGAGGCAAUUUUCUUGUUUACGCGUGAGCUCUUAGGGUGCUAGCUUUACUAACUCUUAUUUAUGUAAUUAGGCCGAGAAAGGAUUGUGAGACCAACGAGUGCCCGCUCUUCUCUCUUUUUCAAGGUAAUUCAAUCCCAGCGGAGUCUGACUUCACACACUAUAUCAAAAGAAAAGACUAGCUGACCCACCCUUUCUUAUUACAGGAAUAGACCCGACGCGGAUCUGACUCCUGCCUUAGCGCGAACUCGGUCUCGUGAAAGGGAUGAGGCUUGAGGUCCUAUUCUUCUUAUUCUACCUUCCCAUAGGGUGAAUUCUUCUUUUCUUCCCUUUUCUAUAGUCAGAUCUUCCUCAAUGAAAAGGGCCUAUUCCCCCAUAGAUUACUUUACUGACUUGACUGGAAUUCAUUCAAAAAGAGUCAAUUCACUGGUCGGUCUCAAAGAAACUAGUGGUCCAACUCUCAUUCCUCAUGGAGUGACUGAGGAAAGAGAAGCUGCAAUGCAUGAAGAUCUCAUGAAACUCCCACGGGGCGGUCGAGAUCAAGAGGAAGAAUGAAGUAGAAGAGUAAGCGCGAAGGACCCCGCUCCACCAAGAUUAAGGAUGCCUUCUCCGUGGGGUUUUCAUAGAAUGAAUAAAAGGAUAUGCCGAGAGAGUUUCAGAAGUGGAAAGUUCAUUCCCAGUCGACCAAGAGUGGAAGGUUAGAAGUUCCCUAGUAAGGCUAAGAAGAAGCUCGACAGAGUUUAUGAGGAAGACUAAGUCAAAGCAUCUUCAAGUAUGAGAGGUUGAAUCAGUACUCUAAGAAGAGGAAGGAACAUCCUGCUUUUUUCCGGAGCGAUAUAAAGUAGCUCGACAGCAAAGUCAUUGAAAAAUCAAGCUCCUUCUCAAUCAGGACUAUCCAUUUUUUCUGUAAGGAGAGGAAGGAAAUAAGAUAAAUAGGAAUUUGAGUACCGAGCUUUCAUAAGAAGAAAGAAGAGCAAGGGAUGCAAGAACCGCUACGUGGGGUGGGGCCUUUGUCCUCCACGAGCCGCCGAUUCCUCUGUUGGGGAGUUUUUCCCUGUGCACGAGCCGCUACGUGUCUUACUGAUUUAUGAUUGAAUCAAUCCCUCUCUCUCUCGUUCUAGAACUCAGUCGAUCCACUAUUAAACCUCUCCUUUUAUAAAAGGUUGAAUAGUCCUCCGGACGGCUUUCUUCUUUGAAAUCUCAAAUCAAAGUCAGAAGACGAGAGAGGGAAAGUCAAUGAAUUCAUGGAUGACUUUUAUCCCUUGUAAUUUGCUUAACUUAAGACAAGGCUCAAAGAAUUUGUCAAUAUUCUUUUCACCUCUUUCGAUUUGAAUUGGACUUUAGUAGCUCUCGCUCCUUCUAUCCUUUCGUCCUCCCCUAUCUUUGAGUGAGAGCUGGAGGCUUAGAAUAAGCUGUCUUUUUCGUUCUGAAAGCUGAAAUAGUAGGAAAGUUCAAGUGGAAGAAAUGAGAAGCCUAUCCAAGAAAAGCCUAGGAGAAGGAAAGCCGUCAGUCCGGAGGACGGAGAAGAAGUUAAUAUGGUUGAUUUCAGAGGACUCAAAGAAUGAUCGAAAGAAUAUUGAAUUGAUGUCUUUUUUCAAAGUGAACAAGUAGAAGGAAUGAGAACAAGCAAGAAGCCCACCGAAUCAGGACAGCCUUCGGCGCAAAAGUUGUUGUCAAAUCAUCCCCACGAGGUGCCCAAGAGCUUUCUCACCCCUUUCGGUCGGACUCUUGGGGAUUCACUCUUUAGAAUAGGAUAGGGCGGGACGACCCAGUUGAAGCAGAACAGUUUGUUUAGAAAAUGCCAUUUUUCAUGCUUAUGGGUUGAAUGACUGAAAUCUACAGCCCUUGCACUCCGAGACAGCGCCAUUACACUCCAUCCCUGCUACCCCUUGGAAUGAGCCCAAGUCCGGGUGCUUAGGCAGUUGAAGCAAGACCCCGUUUAGGGCCACUCCGUCUUCUCAUGGAAUAUCUUUCUUCUAUCUUACCUAUAGGAUACCGAUUAAUACGAAUGGGAAGAAAUUGAAUAGGACUUGAAUCAAUCCCAUAGGAUGAAAGAGGCCGACGGCUCAGCUGCUCGAGCUAGUUGACUCGGUGUGAACUAGAAUCAAGCUAGAAGAUAGAGAGGACGCCUCACUCGAAGGAUAAGCAUGAGUAUUCCUGACCUCAUCCCUUGAAUAACCUCGUGGAGGUUCAAAGAAUUUGAAUGCGCUUUCUUCUUAGUAGUUGAUCAAGGUCGGUUAGAAGAAAGGGAACGGGGGAAGCACUCUCAAAGGGAAGGGGAAGGGAAUUCUAUGUUGAAGUGAGAAGUUAGAGUAUUCUCUCUGUCAUUAUCCGUUGAGUCAGUGGUGCAGCCCACGGAGCGGUUGAAGAAUCGGGCAAGGCCCCAAAACUCAGGAUAGGCGAAGGAGGAGACCCAUCAUUGUAAAUCAAUCGGAAUGAGUAACUUCAAGAAAAGUAGAGCGGGAAGAGGUUAGAGUAUGCGAGAGCAGGAGCAGGUAGUCAUACGACUGAUAAGGAUCCGUAGACCAAUGUAGAAGCUUAAAGACUCGAGAGGAGACUUUUUUUCUUAUCAUAACUGGAUCGAGGGUAGAGAUCCAAGACUCGAAAGAAAUAAUCAGAGCUUCUUCUCUCAACUUCUAUUUUUUAUGGAUUCCUUGCUUCGCUUUUUCUCUGAAAUCUCUCCCUUUGUCAUUCUAAUGGAUAGUCUCAUCACCCCAUUAAUAAAGUAGCUUCAUUCAAUGGACCUAAUCUCAAAUUCUCUAAUGGAUAGGACCCACGGAGCGGUGCAAAGAAUAUUGCGAAGGACGGAUAGGUUUUUAGUUCUUAAAGGAAGAUGAAAUAUUCUUCUCCGCAAUAUUCUUUCUCUGGGUCCUCCUUCCUUCCAUAUGGAUGGUCCUACUUCGGUUAAUUACGGAUGGUCCUACGGAUAAAUCCUCCGGACUACUUCCCUCCAUAUGGAUGGUCCUACUUCUAAUGGAUAGUCCUACUUCCAUAUGGAUAGUCCUCCGGAUAAAUCCUGCGGACGUAGGACUCCGGACUACGGAUAAAUCCUGCGGACGUAGGACUCCGGACUACUUCCCUCCAUAUGGAUGGUCCUACGGAUAAAUCACCUGGACCUUUCUUUGGCCCUGCGGACUGCGGACCCUGGACCUUUCUUUGGCACUCCGGACCUGUCUUAUGGCGCCUUCUACGCGGUCCCGGUCUCUUCCUUCCUCCAAGCAAGCAGUAAAACGGGCAAUGUCUUUAGCUUCAUAAAGCUAUAGAAGAGGAUCAAUAAAGUUCCAGGAAAUAGUAAAGUCAAGC
rnacentral:lncRNA from 1 species